GGGCCGGUAGUUCAGUGGUAGAAUGCCGCAUUUGCAAUGCGGAGGUCGCGGGUCCGAUUCCCGCCCGGUCCA
rnacentral:tRNA from 3 species